AUGCGACUCGACGACAGUCUACAGAUUGUUGGUUGUGCGUUGAUUACACGCACCGAUCAUGUGACUGAAGAAACGGAGAGGAGACAAGAUCAACGUCGAUCUGAAGUAACGAGUGGUACAUGUGGCAGUUUUCAAGCGAUAGUUUAGGAGUUUGGUUGUCCAUGUUAAACACAUCCCCCUCCCUAUCCCUCUCUCAUCCUCACCAGAUCCACUCUUCCUCGAUUUGUAAGUAACAUAACUAAUAAUAUAAAUACCACCACUGGUUAUGGAAAAUAACAUUUUUGUGUUUGUUUGUUUGCUAUAUAUCUUUCACGAGGAACAUUUACUAGUGUGUGUAUGAAUAAAAGAGAUAGGCAAUUAGGCAGACAUCACAUGCGCAUGGUAUAUAUUGGUAGCUUGUUAGGAAUUUCUUAAGGCGUAUAUAAAUAAGUGCAGGCAAAAGAAGGACCAGAGACGUGCAUGUCGCGUCUCAUUUUCUAGGGGAAGCUCAUGGGCGCCACCAUCAUCAUUUAAUCAAAAACCUUCUCCAUGCCAUGCAUGCAGUCGAGCCAAUGAAUAGUUUAUUCCAAUUUUCUGGUUCUGUACUUAGAGUAUGAUUAAUGAUGGUUCUUAGGAUGAAGUUAAAAAACUGUCAUUAAUCAUGCUCUUAGCUCUCUAACCUGUAUUGUAUUUGUAUAAAUAAAUAAGUAUAAACUAAUAAUUAGUGCUUAGCAAGAGAAAAAAACCAACAACAAAAUUAUGGGCCCAAGUGAUCCGAUCCUUGCUUGUAGUGGCCUCAAGAUUUCCCAUUUUCUUUGUUUUUUUCAUCAUUCUGUCUUUACACUAAUAAUAAAGUUCAGUCCUCUUUCACGUUUAAAAUUUAUAUCACAUAAUCGUAAGUUGGACCAAGAG
rnacentral:lncRNA from 1 species